CAAAAUUUCUAAUUUUUUCUAAACAAUUGUAACGUUUCGUAUAAUAAAAAAAAGGUUAAGACGUUAAGAUUAGGUAUUCUCUUUGAGUAUCACACUGAAAAAUAUUGAGGUUAGGCGUAAUACGAUCAACCCUAAAUGCUUACACUGUUUCACACUAUUCAAGGUUAUAAUAUAGUUAUUUUUAUGAAAAUACAGAGAGAAGA